CUGGAGAGACCCUGCCUAAUAGUCCUCCAGAAAACAUGAGCCAGUUGAUUCUCUCUCCAGCACUGAAGAAUGCCCAUUUAUCUGUUGUUAGAGGAGAAUUUUUCAAAUAAGUUAUAAUCAUAUAAUCAAGGUUAUCAUACACAUAUAAAAUGAAGAUGUGCCAAAGAUUUUUUUAAUUCAUUGAUUAAUAAGGACAUCACUAACAUGUUACAGCUAGUCCAAAGGAGAAUAUAAUCCAUCCUCCUCUCCAAUCAGCUGUCCAUACUCCAUCUGUCCAUCCCUCCAUCCAUCCAUUGAUCUACUCCAAUGGUUCUUAACCCAGGGUGAUUCUGUCCCUAGAGAACAUUUGGAAAUGUCUGGAGACAUUUUUGGCUGUAUAACCGGGGGGAUGCUUCUGGCAUCUAGUGAGUAAAGGCCAGAGAUGCUGCUAAACAUCCUACAACACACAGGAGCACUCCCAACAAAUCUGACCUAAAAUGUCAGUAGUGCCAAGACCGAGAAUCCCUGGAUCCCCAUACAACCACCCACCCAUUCAUACAACCAUCCAUUCAUCCACACCCAUCUAUUUAAAUGUUUAUGGCGUACCUGCAACAAUGCCUCUCAAUCUUGACUGCAAAUGAGAAUCACCUGUGCAGCAGAUAAAACAUACACUGCCAAGGUAUUACCUUUGAGUACUUGGACUUUUAUAAUCAGAAAAUAUGGAAAUUUGUGAAUUGUAAGUUAAUCAGCAGAGAAGCUUCUGUGCUUGUUUCUAAGACAAUAUAUGAUAUUAAAUAACAGCUAAUUAAGAUUAAUCAACAAUUUAUCACCAUAUUAGGUAAACAAGAGCAUUCCAAAGGUGAAAAACAAAUGUCCAGGUCUCCUACCAGGGCGGUCUCAACUCAUUCUACACAUUAGAAUCACUGGGGAACUUUUAAAGAUUACUGAUCCCCAGAUCUGAGGCUCUGAUUUAAUUGGUCUAGGAUGUGGCCUAGGCCUCAGGAUUUUAUAAAAGCACCCUAGGUGAUUAUAAUAUGCAGCCAGGAAUAAGAACAGCUGUGUCAGAAUUCAAAAAAAUACACUUCUCUUUUUCUAUAUUGGUUAAUUUUUUUUUACAUGUACAAACACUUUUUUCUUUUCCAUUUUAGAGUCCAAUCUUAAAAUAAUGCUUGAGGCAAUAAUCUGCAUCUUUUUUGCCCUUGGAGUCUUGGUCUGCUUUAUUUAUUGUGUGUGUGUGUGGGAUUGACCUAGAAUCACAGGCCCCCAGGAUCACCGGACUGCCAACCAUCAAGGGAAGGGCUCCUAAUCCAUCUUCUGCCUCUAGAGCUUUUCAAGGAAGUGGCAUUGGCAGAAGACCACAAGGCUUGUUUCAGGAGCUAAUUAUACAUCUUGACUAAUAUUAGAAUAUUUGGACAGAUGGUAACAAAAUUUAGAUGAAAAGACUUAAAGGGCUGGAAACACCUAAAUACCAUUAGAUGUUCUUCUCACUAACAUCCAAUCAUCCAUCUGUGUUCAGGAGAUCCUGGUUUCUUGUCCGGUUCGAAUAAACUCACGGUUCAUGUACAAAAUAUUUCUUAGACUUGGACACCACUGGCGCUGCCGCCACCACCACCACCACACCAUGUUUUUCUAUAGCUCUGGGAAUUUUUAAUGCUCUUACUGGGUGUCAAAACUCCCACUCUUUUCUGAGACUCUAACCCAACAGAAGAGAUUCUUACCUAAUAUAGCUUCCUGCCAUCCUGAGAGAACAGGAAUAAUGACAUAUUUAUGGAAGGCUUUAGAAAUUGUAAGGUCUUUGUAGACAUUAUCUCCUGUGAUUCUCUUAGCAUCCCUGUAGCGGAGAGGGUAGUGAGAGCGGCUACGUCCACUUUGCAGAUGCAGAGAUUGAGACUCAGAGAAAGGAGAGUACCCAAGGUCCUGGACUCUGAGUCGUGGUAUCUCAACUUGGGAGGUCUCAGAUCCUGUGUUCCUUUCUCAUAUACUUGGCGCCAUUUGUGGCUGUGUUCUCUACAUUCUCUGCCUCUCUGAGAGCCUUCCGGGUCGCUCCCUCAGCUUUCCCACCUUCCGCAGAAGGCCAGGGCACAGCCCCGUAGCACAGCAACCCCCAGUUUAAGAAUAGCACUUGUCUGCGCCACACACGCAAAACCCCAGCCUCAUAAUGCCUUUUACAGCUUUUCUGGACAGAGAAGAUUCUCCUUCAGGGGAUUUGUAACAGGAAAAUCCCACCUGCAUCCAGAAAUUCACUUCUUUUCUUUUUCCAUUUCUUAACCAGCCACUUAGUCAUCAAAUCAUACAAUCAUGGCCAGCCCCGAGGUAAACCCCUUCCCUAUACGUAAGACCCCCUUCCAGCGUUUGCAGAUACUGCAAACAGAGUGCCUCUCCCUUUAUCGUUAUAAAGCUGAGCUGCUCAUUAGAACACUUUUUCUUAUUACUCUCUAAAUUUGAUAUUUCUGUUAAUAAAAGGAAUUAAUAUUUAAUAAACUAAAAAUUCAAAAGGAAAGGAAGUCCUUGUUUCAUCCAGAAGCAACCACUGAGCUUUUGACAUUUUAGUCUUUUUUGCUCAAAUAUGAAUAUGUCUACAUAUAUGAUGUGAUUUUUGAUUGAUACAAUUAAAUAACUUUCUACAGCUGCUUUUGUAGAAUCACAGAAUUUAGAUUUAAGGCCUCCCAAGUCCUCACUUCCUGGUUUGGGGAUUUCUUUCACGUGGACCUUGACUGGGGCUGCCCAGACGCUGCUUGCAUCCUCCAGGGACCAGGGGCCCAGUUUGCACCAAGACCAUCCAUUCCAGAUCUGCUCGGAUGUAGAACCCCUGCUGCUUCUGGAAAGGUCUGGGGAUGGAAAAAAUCUGACAUGAAUGCUGUCAACAGGAAGCAACCGCGCAUACCUUCUGGACGGCGGAGAUGGCGGCAAAGUCAUUCUUGUCUAUAAGGGUAUACUUCCUGCGCAAAGUGGACUCCACUUCCUGCUCCUGUUGGCUUGAGAGAGAGGAGAGAACACCUUGCACCUUGGAGCUAGGCUGAACCUUCCAGAUCGAAAACCAAGUAUGAGAACUAGAAGUCAUUUGGGUGUGGCCCCUUGUGAUGGAGCCACACCCUCAUGGUGAACCAGACAAAACAAGCCCAUUCCACACCCCGAUUCCUCAGACCACAUACCACCUGUUCACCCCUCGAAUUGGCAGUGGCCACCCUUGUAUGCCAGGGACUUCUGCUCCAAGGAAACUAACAAGGACUGUAAGCCUGCCUCAGGACCAUGGUUUCCCACCUAGGUUCUAUCUUUAAAAGGCCCCAGGGAAACAUAUGACCCACGCCUGUGCUACCACCCAGCACAAGCUGUUCACUGUACAGGUAUGUCUGCACCCCAAUACAUCACAAAUGCCUCCUGAGAUGGGGGCGGGGCACAGGGCAUAUUCAUGAUGCCCUGCUCUGGCCACACUCAGGGCUGGCACUCCAGAAGGACCUCCCGUCUAAUUCAUGAACUCAGGAAACACCCACCAGGGAUCACUUCUUCUCUGAGUUGUCCUUGAACAGACAGCUCUCCUCCCGGCUUCCCCCAGAGGAGGGGGAGGGCUGGAGGUUCUGAGAGCUCAGGGGCCUGGGCACACCCCAAGGACUCUGAGCUGGCUUCUCAUCCAUGAGAGACAAGGCCGUGUGCUGAGAGCCACACCCUGGCCAUGGGAAAUGAAAACGGCAGCCUGAUGUAGGAGUCCGAUGGGCGGGUGAGGGUCCCUUACCUCAGCACCACCCGGAACUGGUUGAACACCUCCUGGAUCUGUCUGAGGUUGAUGAUCUGGAGGCAAGACAGCAAGGCAGAGGUUGGGCCUCAGGCCGCACAGGGCUGAAGGUGUGUCUACACUUAGAAGAGAAACCAGGACUCCUUGGCUAACCCUUUAAUCAUGUAUGUCUUGAGAAUGGAACAUCAGGAACCUCCUCAAGAACA